UGGAGAGAGAGAGAGACAAAGCCCGUAACACCCGGAUCCUGGAGCCCAAGCUUAACAUUAGUGAACCUCCACCAAAACCUUCCAGAGUCAAUACUAGCCGUUUCGGAAAUACCCUUGGUGUUGGUCUACAUCUUCAGCUUAAUGAGGCUUUAUGUGCCAGUUCACCAGACCUGGCCAGCCCGUGUGAUUACCAGUCACCUGUGGACUCAACUAACAUCCUCGCCAUAACUACAUCCCCACCCCGUCGCCGCAGUC